AUAAUGUGAGAGGCAGUUUUUGUAAAUGGAAAAAGAGAAAACAAGAACUUGAAAGUGUCGUCUAAACAAAAUUUAUAGGAAAUGAGGACCCAAAAAAUCAUGAUUUCUAGCUUAUUGACCAACAUUCCAAUUGAAAGUGUAUCUACAGUUGACGAUCUCAAUAGCAAUAAGGUUGGUGUUGAACAGGAAGAAUGUCUAGCAGCUAACACCUCACACUUAACAGGGAAAAGGCUGGAUUUGUCUGAUAGAACAAUGAAAACCAAACUUAAAAGGAGUUAGAAAAAUUGAAGAAGAAGAAAUUAAAAAAGAAAAAUAACAAGAAGUGGUCCUGAAUUGCCAAACUUGCACAAGCCACCGAGGCAGCAUCAGUGUCAUCAACCUCUGAUCCCACAGAGUUUGUCAAAACAGGUAUUCCUGAACCAAGACCAACAAGUACACCGCUAACACCAAUUUUCAACAGUGAAGGCUGCCUAGUAUUCAGCAAAUUUGAUUUAGGAGAACUAUCUAAUCCCUCACCCAUUCUGAACAAGAACACUUUAGAUUGAAAAGUAGCAACGAUAAAAAAAAACUCAAAGCCAAAGUGAAAAUCUUGGAUGGCCAAGCUGAAGUUGGAAUGUGAGAAGUAUUGAAGAGAAACAGGCAUGAAAAGGUGCUUUGCAAAGAGCUGAAGGUUUUCAGGUAAAAAACAAUGUGGAAUGGCUUGCUAAAUCUAUUAUGAAACAAGAUGAAAUCAAAUCAGAUAGUAAAAAGAAGUUGGCUGAACGCAUCGAAGAAUAGGAAAAGAGAAAGGAAUAACAACAGAAAACGAGAAAAGCCAACAUUAAGAAAAAGAAAACUGAGAAGAAAGAACAUAAACUGAA